rnacentral:lncRNA from 1 species
GUGCCCCGGCCAUGGAGGCCCUGCGGAGGGCCCACGAGGCUACGCUGCGGCUGCUGCUGUGCCGGCCCUGGGCCUCGGGCGCCGCCUCCCGCCCGAAGCCCCGCGCCUCGGAGGUGCUGACGCAGCACCUGCUGCAGCGGCGGCUGCCGCACUGGACUUCCUUCUGCGUGCCCUACAGUGCGGUCCACAACGACCAGUUCGGCCUGUCGCACUUCAAUUGGCCGGUGCUGGGCGCCAACUACCACGUCCUGCGCACCGGCUGCUUCCCCUUCAUCAAGUACCACUGCUCCAAGGCGCCCUGGCAGGACCUGGCCCCGCAGGACCGCUUCUUCACCGCGCUCAAGGUCAUCAACCUGGGUGAGUGGCGGCGCCCUCGUCUGACCCAGGCACUCCUCCAUCCCAGGGCGGCCGCUGGCCCACAAGCACGCUGCUCGCUCUCCAGGGCCGGCCCUUCGCAUCCCCGGUGGGCUGCUUGCAGCACCCCUGAGGUCGUGCCCUGCCACUGUCCACCCGGGAGAACCCUGCCCAGGGCAGCGAGGAGUGAGUCCCGACAGUGGCUCCGAAGUUGCUUAGCAAGAGUCAUUCCCGCGCUCAUCACCAAGAGCCUUUGGAGGACAAAAAACUGGACGGACUUUUAAAGUUUCUUUGUCUUUCUGUGAAAUCUCAGCAAUUGUGUUUUGCUAAAAGCAGUAGGUUCUCUCCAGACAUCAUAUUUUCUCAGGUGCUAGACUUAAAAGAUGCUGUCUUUUAAGAUCCUUUAGUAUCUAUAUUCCUGAAGAUAAUCUAAUUCUGACGGUCCUCCUGCUAGAUGUGUGUGUUCUGUGGUCUAAUGGCAGAAGAGUCAAUAUCACGGAUUGUAGAUGUGACAGCAUUUUAUAGAUUAGGGAAAAAUUCAAGUCCUCAAGAUGUUUCGGACCUAUUAAUAGCUGCU